GAUGAACGCUAGCGGAGGCUUAACACAUGCAAGUCGAGGGGUAAAUGGUAGCAAUACUAUGAGACCGGCGGACGGGUGCGUAACGCGUAUGCAACAUACCUUGUGCAGGGGGAUAGCCCGUGGAAACGCGGAUUAAUAUUCCAUAGUCCAGCUAUAUCGCAUGGUAUAGUUGGUAAAGAUUUAUCGGCACAAGUUUGGCAUGCGUCUGAUUAGCUUGUUGGUAGGGUAACGGCCUACCAAGGCUACGAUCAGUAGGGGUUCUGAGAGGAUUAACCCCCACACUGGUACUGAGACACGGACCAGACUCCUACGGGAGGCAGCAGUGAGGAAUAUUGGUCAAUGGGCGGAAGCCUGAACCAGCCAUCCCGCGUGAAGGAAGACAGCCUUACGGGUUGUAAACUUCUUUUGUACGGAACGAAACGGCGAGCUCUAAUACAGUUUGCUAAUGACGGUACCGUAAGAAUAAGCACCGGCUAACUACGUG
rnacentral:rRNA from 1 species